rnacentral:rRNA from 1 species
AACGAACGCUGGCGGCGUGCCUAAUACAUGCAAGUCGAGCGAGAAAGUCUCUUCGGAGGCGAGUAAAGCGGCGCACGGGUGAGUAACACGUGGGCAAUCUGCCCUCGAGUCUGGGAUAACCCGGGGAAACUCGGGCUAAUACCGGAUACGGCUUCGGGGUCUUUGGACCCUGUGGAGAAAGAUGGCCUCUUCAAGAAUGCUAUCUCUCGAGGAUGAGCCCGCGUCCUAUUAGCUAGUUGGUGGGGUAAUG